rnacentral:rRNA from 1 species
AUUUGACGUUAGCGACAGAAGAAGCACCGGCUAACUCCGUGCCAGCAGCCGCGGUAAUACGGAGGGUGCGAGCGUUAAUCGGAAUUACUGGCGUAAAGCGCAUGCAGGUGGUUUGUUAAGUUCAGAUGUGAAAGACCCGGGGCGUCAACCUCGGAAUAGCAUUUGAAACUAGGCAGACUAGAGUACUGUAGAGGGGGGUAGGAAGUUUCAGGUGUAGCGGUGAAAUAGCGUAGAGAUCUGAAGGAAUACCGGUGGCGAAGGCGGCCCCCUCGGACAGAUACUGACACUCAGAUGCGAAAGCGUGGGGAGCAAACAGGAUUAGAUACCCCUGGUAG